GGAGAGAUCUUAUGGAACUUAAUCGCAUAAAUCUAUAACUAAAGGAGAGAGACAGAAUACUAAAUAAAAAGUGAUCCUAAUACUCUCCAAUAUGUAUCAUCUAAAAUUUAAAUCUGAAAAUCUUUAUGAUACACCUUGAGGCUUGUUAUUUGGUUAAUAUAUCUUAUGCAUAAAUCAUGAACCAAAUUGCAAGUCAAACAGUUGAUCUUAAGAGCCUCUAACUUAAUGAAAAAGGGGGAGAAUAAUGUGUUGAAUUUUCUUGAGUAUCUCUCAGAAAAUCUAUUUUGGAAUUCACUAAUGAGUCCUAAUUGGCUUACUCUUUAGAACUUCAAUUUUGUGCCAAUUCAUAUUUUUAUGUAUCAAAUUGUGCUUAU
rnacentral:lncRNA from 1 species